CUCCAUUGCACUUUGGAGGGGUGCCUGCCUAAGGUCGGCCCAAGUGGUUGAGCCUACGUUAUAAUUUGUGGUGGAGGGGGCCUGUGUUCGCGCGGCCCCUGCCCAAAUCUUCGUCCAAACUUUGCAUCAUGAAGUUUCAGAGCAUAAAUCAUUUUAUACUCUUCUUUGUCCCCUUCUAAAGGAAGAAAGUCAGUAACUUUUAGGGAGAAGGAAUUGGCCUGAUUGAUAUAACAACAAAGCAAAAAUGAAUUGCAACAUAAGCUUUUUGAUUGAAUAGGCCAAAUCUUAUAUAGGAAAGGAUGAAUCUUACAAUUAUCAUUAAAAGGUCCCAUUUUGCUGCUGCUUCGUUAAUAGGAAUAUAGGAUUCAGAAGGCGUUGUUUGUUUGAUAUUGUUUGUUUUUUCUUAUUCAUUUUUCUUUUAAUAGAGACUUCUGCUAACAGUGGCGGAUCUACACUUAAGUUAGGGAGUUUAUCCGAACUCCCUUCGGCGAAAAAUUAUGUUAUAUAUACAUGGUUAAAAUUAUUUUUUAUGUAUAUAUAUUAGAUGUUAAACCCCCUUCGAUUAGUUUUUAUAUUCACUUAUGAACUCCCUUAGUGAAAAUCCUGGCUCCGCCACUGUCUGCAAGACAUUGUCUGUGGAACUAUUGUUCACUUACCUAAGUAAUUUUGCUAUCAGACACUGGUUUUGGAUGUAAUAAGAAUAGAGAGAUCUCAAGUACGUCGUGUUGCUUCCUGUUGGUACUGUCUAUAUAGAGCUUGAGACUUGAAGUUUCAAGAUUGAUUUACAUAUAGUGUUCUUGUGAUGCAACACUAUUGGUUACUUCAUAGUUACUCUUGUAUUGAAUGAGUAUCAAAUAUACGCUCCAUUGAUUUUUCUUGUUUUGUAUCUCCAAACAGAGAGCAAAAUGAGAGCUAAUGCCAUUUUGAGUGAUUUUCCCACAUCGCCAGCGGAAUAUAAGUUGAGCAAAAUCACUAGCAUAAGUAAUGGGCUGAGCUAACGGGAUUACAUACUUACCUGGACGGGGUCAAUUGGUGAUCAAUAAAAUCAAUGGCCUAGGUUGGUGACCUCCAUUGCACUUUGGAGGGGUGCCCACUUAAGGUCGGCCCAAGUGGUCGAGCCUACGUCAUAAUUUGUGGUAGAGGGGGCCUGCGUUCGCGCGGCCCCUGCCCAAAACUUAGUUGUAAUUUUUGGCCCAAGCAAGGAUGGAAAGCAUCUGGCAACGGAAGGUAAUUGUUCUGUUUGUCCUUUUCAACUUACUCUUUUUGAAUUGCUUUCUUACUAUUUAGAGAUAUUCUUUUUGAAUUGCUUUCUUACUAUUUAGAGGUAAAUUUAUGGAAUUUCUAUUGCCAAGAAUACUAAUUAUCCCAAAACUUUGUUCAACAUCAUUUUCUUAGUAGCUCAUUUAUUAAAUAAUGGUAGUGAGUGCGAAUGUUUGUCCUGAAAAUACGCACCCGCUUCACUAUGCAUUUAGGGGUUUAUUGCUUAGUUAAAAACAAUUUUUUUGAGCGGAGUGUCUAUUAGAAUCCACCUCUUUUGUUCCAGGUAGGGGUAAAGUUUUCGGACACCUCCCCAGACCCAUUUAUGGGACCAUACCUGUGUAUGUUGUGGUUGGAUAAAAAGCAAUGUUCUUUUAGCGUAUGUGUGGAG
rnacentral:lncRNA from 1 species